UCGAAUUGUGACUCGACUAGAAAGCUUCACGCUACGACUUGUUUGAGAUAAAAAGUGAACCGUUGAUCUUGUUGGUGGUGCGAGGGCAAUGCCCUCGCAGAAUGAGCCAGUAUAAAUAUUGUAAUAUUUUGUCCUUUGCAGUAGAGUUGAGUCGAGAAACAUACUGGGAUUAGAGUUUGAGAAUUCUGAGUAAUUAUAUCUUGCUCUUUUCAUCAUGGUGGAACUUUUUGUCUUGUCAUGUCCGUAAACAUAGACUUUAUAAUCGAAUCACGUAAAUCCUAUAUUAUUUUUCUUCUCUUUUCUUAUACUGUGUGAUUGUGCGAUUGUGUGUAUUCUUUAAAUUUACGUGCCUGCUAUAACAUCCUCAAUGCAGUCUCGGAGUACUCUUAAACUCCAUGCAAGUUCAAUUUUUGCCAAAGUUACUGGUCUAGCUCUGGCUGCUUGUAGUAGGAUCUCUAACAUAAUAAAGUAGAUUAAUAGAAUGAAAGUUUAUGAUUCUUGCAAUUGCAAAUACGCUUGCAGAGCCAUAGUGUUUCCUACUAUUGGAUUGGCCAAUGGCCACACAUUCUGCUAUGCUUUGGAAAAUUGUUUUUAUGAUCCAAGGGAGAAGAAAUGAGAACCUGAAGUCCACAAAUUUCCUAAAAUUGAAGGAACACAUAAUCCCAUAAACUAAUCCAUCGCUGUCCCUUGUGCUCGAACAUUUACAACUACAAAUGUAGUUGCAAAUGUGGGUCGUCUUUCUUUUGCAAAACCAAUGGCAAAGGUGAGUCAUAUGGGUCAAAAUAAUUCAGCUUUUCGAAUGAGUACAUGUGUCCUCAUCUUCAAAUGAUUUGAAUGAAUUUGUGUAUUUAGAUUUGGAAAAAAUCAUUUUAUUGAUAUGGGACAAAAUUUAUGUUUACCUAUAUAGACAUACUAACAUACUGUUAAACAAUUGACCUAUACUUGAUUACAACUAUAGAAAUAGAAUUUUAAUCCUAUGGAUUUGUCAAAAAUUUGCCUCUCUAAAAAGCAAUAACAUGGCCUCAACUCCACAACAACAUUAUAUUGCCCACUUAGGGCCUACUAGAACACUAGCUCUCCAAGUCCAGCUUAGGUACCUAAUUCCUCUACGGUCUAAUUGGUUAUGUUCAUAGCUCUAAUAAUUAUAAAAAUAUAUCUGAAAAUCCUUUACAUCAUCUUUUUGUUAAUUAAAUUUAUUUGAAUUAAUUUUAUUAAGUCAUGAAUAUUUUAUUAAUUAAUUGACCAUUCUAGUUUAGGUCCAAAUGACCCAAGGUGAUUUCAUAUGUACCAUGCUGAUUUUGCUAAUUGAAAUGCGUUUGGACCAUCCAAAAAUGCUGAAAAUGAGUAAAAUAAUAGCUACGUUUUAGGACAACCCAUAGGGAGAUUCGAUUUAUCCUGAAAUAUGGUCCCAGCACUGGAAGCUUAUCGUCAAUCUAGAGGUACUUAUACAAUACCCAAAACACAUCAAUCACUAUGAUAUAGUUAGCUUUCAAAAAUAGCAUUUCAAAGAGACUGAAAUCUUACUAAUUGAUCUUGGUAUUUCAAAAGGACUCAUCAGUGGUCUUGGAUCGUCCAGGUGAUGACUGCAUUGAUUGGAAUCUGAUCAAAAAGUUAAGGAGACUGAUUUUCCCUCUCCUUGAUUCCAUUGAUGGAUGACGGCGAGGAAGGGCUCUUUCACCUUCUCCUAGGAUUGCAAGGUGAUCGAAAUUGUUGGAGCUAGAAGAGCGAAAGUUGAGUCAGGAUCGCCUGGAUUUGAAAAGUUGAGCACUUUGGGCCAAAAGGCGAGAGGCGUCAAGUGUUAGGAGGUGCUGCCUCAUGCAUAUAACAAAUAUAUUCUUUUUUUUUUAUUAUUAUUAAUUUGAAAGCAAAGAUUAAGAAGAAUGAAACCCUAGCUUUUCAUUUUGACGCUACCAACUGUUGGAAAAUAGGAUCAGACCACAACAGUACGUGCAAGUAAUUUUCUCUCAUCCUUCCUCCCUCUUUUUCUCCUUUUCUCUUCUC
rnacentral:misc_RNA from 1 species